GAUGAAUGCUGGCGGCGUGCUUAACACAUGCAAGUCGAGCGGUAACAGGUCUGGUUUACUAGAUGCUGACGAGCGGCGGACGGCUGAGUAACGCGUGGGAACAUGCCCCAAAGUGAGGAAUAACUGCCCGAAAGGGUAGCUAAUGCCGCAUAUGAUCUUCGGAUUAAAGUCUUCGGACGCUUUGGGAGUGGCCUGCGUAUGAUUAGGUAGUUGGUAGGGUAAUGGCCUACCAAGCCGACGAUCAUUAGCUGGUCUGAGAGGAUGACCAGCCAGACUGGAACUGAGACACGGUCCAGACUCCUACGGGAGGCAGCAGUGAGGAAUCUUCCACAAUGGGCGAAAGCCUGAUGGAGCAACGCCGCGUGAAGGAUGAAGGCCCUCGGGUUGUAAACUUCUUUUAUGAGUGAAGAAUAUGACGGUAACUCAUGAAUAAGCACCGGCUAACUACGUG
rnacentral:rRNA from 1 species